ACCUCCCCAACUCAUCCCCUAUUCACUGUGGCAUGCAGAUAUUGUAACCUAAUUGUCUUUCUUUUAAAAGGUAUCUCUGAAUUCAAAUUCCUAAGAGAAUAUUUCCUUGAGACUUUUGAACUUCAUAUAGAUUGUGUGUCCCCUUUUGUAAGAUUUCAUGCAACAACUUCAUUUGGCUUCAGCUGGGAGUGCAAUUAAUGAGUUAGGAGCUAGACGUGAGCAGUGGAAGGAAUGCCCCUGUAGUCAACAAAACCAGCCCACAUCUUCCUCCGACUAGAUGUUAUAGCCUACAGAACUUUCUCUCAGGAGAUGCAAGCCAAGUCCAGAGAGAAGGUGUUGUCAGUUUAACCUCUAGAUAGUCAUAUGGCUUUUAACAUAAAUUAGCAUUUCUGUUACAGCCCCAACCCCACUCAGCAAGAAAGGCUGCCAUGGUGGUUCUGGUACAAAUCUGUCUUCAUUCCAGAGAACUUUGGUGAUCCUUUAGAACAAGUAUCUGAGUUUUCCCAUCUUCACUCUGAAGACCACAGAUGUUGAAUAUAUUAAUUCCUCCUUCCACAUUUCCAGCAACUGGUCAAGCUGGGAUUCAAAUACAGAUUAAUGGAAUCCCUCCUGCAGUUAUGUAUUCCAUCUAUAUUGAAAAGAUUCACCUUCUGAUACUGUUCCCUCUACACAUUAAAGUGAACUCUCAACAGAGAAUCUUGCAGAAGACCUCCUGAUAUCUUGAAACAGGACCCACGCAAAGAAAUAAUCCAUGUGAAACUUCCUUAAUGUGAAGAAACAGUGUAAUACAGUAUAGAACCUCCGUUAAAAACAAGAAAGCAAUACUGCUCUGAAGGAAGCCUUUGACUCCACCAACAACUGACACACACUGACCAUUGAUCUUCCAUAUCUCCUCCAGAUGACUAACCAUGGCAUCAAACUGAAGUCCAUCUGUACUACUGUAAACCAUUGUCCAUGAGUAACCUUCUAUCAAAAGGAGGGAGAGGGCAGCCCGGGUAGCUUAAUGCCGCCUUCAGCCCAGGGUGUGAUCCUGGAGACCCGGGAUCAAGUUCCACAUCAGGCUCCCUGCAUGGAGCCUGCUUCUCCCUCUGCCUGUGUGUCUCUGCCUCUAUCUAACUAAUCUAUCAUCUAUCUAUCAUCUAUCUAUCUAUCUAUCUAUCUAUCAUCUAUCUAUCUAUCAUCUAUCUAUCAUCAUCUGUCUCUCAUGAGUAAAUAAAUAAAAUCUUAAAAAAAAAAGGAGGGAGAAA
rnacentral:lncRNA from 1 species